UACGUAGGUGGCAAGCGUUGUCCGGAUUUACUGGGCGUAAAGGGCGUGCAGGCGGUCUGUUAAGUGCAGGGUGAAAGCUCCCGGCUCAACUGGGAGAGGUCCUUGCAUACUGGCGGACUUGAGGGGGGUAGAGGAAAGUGGAAUUCCCGGUGUAGUGGUGAUAUGCGUAGAUAUCCGCAGGAACACCCGUAGCGAAGGCGGCACUCUGGGCCGAUACUGACACUGAGGAGCGAAAGCGUGGGGAGCGAACAGG
rnacentral:rRNA from 1 species